AGAAUCAACGCUGGCGGCGUGCCUAACACAUGCAAGUCGAACGCGAAAACCCCGCAAGGGGUUAGUAGAGUGGCAAACGGGUGAGUAACGCGUGGGUGACCUACCUCAGAGUGGGGGAUAACCUUCCGAAAGGAGGGCUAAUACCGCAUGACAUACCGUGGUUGGAUACACGGAUAUCAAAGCCGGGGAUCGCAAGACCUGGCGCUUGGAGAGGGCCCGCGUCCGAUUAGCUAGUUGGUGAGGUCACGGCUCACCAAGGCGACGAUCGGUA
rnacentral:rRNA from 1 species